rnacentral:rRNA from 1 species
CCUACGGGAGGCAGCAGUGGGGAAUAUUGGGCAAUGGGCGCAAGCCUGACCCAGCAACGCCGCGUGAAGGAAGAAGGCUUUCGGGUUGUAAACUUCUUUUGUCAGGGAAGAGUAGAAGACGGUACCUGACGAAUAAGCCACGGCUAACUACGUGCCAGCAGCCGCGGUAAUACGUAGGGGGCAUGCGUUGUCCGGAUUUACUGGGUGUAAAGGGCGUGUAGCCGGGUUGACAAGUCAGAUGUGAAAUCCUGCGGCUUAACCGCAGAACUGCAUUUGAAACUGUUGAUCUUGAGUACUGGAGAGGCAGACGGAAUUCCUAGUGUAGCGGUGAAAUGGGUAGAUAUUAGGAGGAACACCAGUGGCGAAGGCGGUCUGCUGGACAGCAACUGACGGUGAGGCGCGAAAGCGUGGGGAGCAAACAGGAUUAGAUCCCCAGUAGUC